AUUGAGAUGCUAAAAUGAGAGAGCUAAAUUGGAAAGCUUUUUCCACAUAGGGGGCCGUGAGCAGGUGGCUGUUUUGUCCUCUGGCACCUUUGGCUCAGACUUAAGCAGCUUCAACGACCGCCAAGAUGCCUGCCAUGCCCACCAAGAUUUAAAGGACUCUGAUAAUUCUUUCUCUCCCCAAACGGUGUUUUCCUUAUCUAAUCCUAAUAACCAAGCCUGGAGGAAUCCCUGACUUCGUGAUUGAAGGCUCUCCAGGUCCCCUAGUUUAAGGGCAGAGAUUUACUUUCUCUGAGGCUACAAAGGAGCGUCUGCGAGAAUGUCUCUACCUUAGACAAAACAGGGAGGAGGGGUGGAGCUCUCCAAAUUGCCUCUGGUUUGGGCUUUUUCUUUCUGUUUUGGUGUAUCGUCUCUGGCCAACAACACCUGUGAGUCCUUGAUGUGACGAUUAGGGAAGAUGUUUUUAAUUCACAUAACUAUUCUUUAGAGAAAAUUGAUCCUGAAACACCUUAUUGCCUUAUCGUAGAAUGACUGCAUUACUCAGAAUUCUUUACCUCUACCGGAAUUUAGUGAAGGGAAGGCACAACGUACAUUAGGAAAAUACAGGACACACUCCAGUCCUUAAACCUUCCACAAUCUUCUAGCUCUUUAAGGUCGAGUGUGAUCCUCCCCAGAACUGCAUCUUCCAGGAAGCUCAUGAGAAAGGAAGGAUCCCAGGUCCCAUCUCUGAUCUGAGUCGGCAUCUGCGUUUUAACAGAAUCCUGAAGCAGUGGUCUAACUCCUUUGGUGGUGUUAUUGUUUGCAUGUAUACCUCCAAAAUUCACAUAUUGAAAUACUAACCCCCAAGGUGAUAGUAUUAGGAGGUGGGGCCUUUGGGAGGUAAUUAAGUCAUGAGGGUGAAGCCCUCAUGAAUGGGAUUAGUACUCUUAGAAAAGGGACCCCAGAGAGGUCUCUUUCCACCAUGUAAGGAUAAAAGUACACGGAGAAGAUGGCAAUCUGCAAACUGGAAAAGGGCCCUCCUCAGAACCUGACCAUCUUGGCACCUUGAUCUCAGACUUCCAUCUUCCAGAACUGUGAGAAAUAAAUUUCUUUUAUAAACACUCAGUCAAUGCUACUUUAUUAUAGCAGCCUGAAUGGAUUAAGACAGGUGGUCUGGUUUAAAGUGAUGUGGUGGCAUCAGAAGUUUAAGGAGAGACUGGAUUUACAGAACCAGAAUCUGGGAUGCUGUUUACAGAGCAAGUUAUUUCCUGCAUUUGGACACUGUCAGCAGGUCGAUUCAGGAGACAGGUGAAAACUUUAUCACCGGGCAGCCUGGAUGAACACCACAACUUUGAUAUCUUUCACUUAAAGGAAAGAUAAGGGCAUCCACUAUUUCUACACCUGGCUGGCAGAGUGAGAGCUCACCAAAGCACUUACAAAUUCAUGGACUAUUAUGAAGACAAGUUAAGAGAUUGUGUCCUCCAAACUCAUCAUUUUUCAGAAAUUGUAUCACAAUCCUACAAGAUAAAUGCACAAGAUAAUUCUUCAAAUCAUUGAGAGUGUAAUCUAUAAUCUUCCUAAACAACGAACAGUAUAGCACUGGUUAAGGAAAUCAUAUAUCAGCAUAAAGAAAUGUCAACAAGAACUAAGAAGGAUCCAGUUCUGAAUCUCGUUAGCAAGUUCAAAGCAAGGCCAAGAAGAUGCAAUUCCCACUGGAAACCUUAUGAGACAGUUAGAAGGGAAGGGGAGCAAAUGUUCACCAGGAUUUGGAAUGUGCAUGCACAGAUUGCGGAUAGAUAGACUGCCACCCUCGUCAUUGCAGAAGGAAACUUGUGAGUUAUGCCCAGUGCAAUUCUUUCCAACUCUGAUUCCACUGUGGUUACUGCUGAUGGACUCUAGGUGGCCACAGAUGAUACAAACAUGUUCCCAUGGAGCCUCAUGUCAUCCUGACAUGCUGUUCCAGUCUAAGGUAACUGCUGUUCUUCAGUUUAGAAAAGGAGCAACUGUUUUGGAUACAUUUUCAGUGCCAGAACUCUUUCUCCACUGCCUUAGACUUCUCAGUGGUGAAGUGAGAAGGAGUUUUGACAGCUACAGAGCAACAUUUCCAAACGAGAAAAGAAAACAAGGCAAACUUUUUAUAAAUUAUUCAAAUAAUAUGUUAAAUUCAAGGAAAAGAAAAUUUCCAUUUUAUGGUGAAGACUGAUGUUUCCUAAGUCUAUUGGUAAGCUGAGAAACUGCUCUGUGAGCUCUUUCAUUGAAAAUAUUGAAUGACCACAGCUGUUAAAUCUUGCUAAAGGUGUCCUCAGUUCACACUACAACAUGCUUGGGUGCAGGGUCUGGAAGCAAUGACAAAUCAGUGAGACUCCAACACUGAGCUGAAAUGUUCUGUUUUUGCAGUGACAUCAGACCUUAUUAUUGCCCCUGUCUUCCUUCCGUCCUUCCCUCUCCAGGUGUAACUACUAACCCUUACUUGACUUAUAUUACCUCUAUAUGAACUUUCAUACUUUUUUUUUU
rnacentral:lncRNA from 1 species